GUCACCGGCGCCGCAGACAACAUUGACCAGGACAUCGCCUUCUACCUUGCCAACUCGACGCCCACACUAUAGGUGCUGCCCUCCAUGCCCCCAGGACUACGUCCUCUGAGCCUCAACGCAGGCUCUUUCUUCUAUGAAGCAAUUGGGUGCGUGUAAGACUUGGUAAAUUCCAAAUAACCACAAGCAAAGUGAAGAUAGUGAUGGUUUGUUUAGAAGUCAUAUUAAUUUUUUAUUUGAAAUGGCAAACUAUUACAGUGUCAUGAAUAUACAGAUAUAAGCAAUACAUAGGUCUUAUUUUAGAGAAGCUAAGUAAUAAGUUUAUCUUUGAUCUUCCCAGGAAGCUCCAGCAUCAAAGCAACGCACUGACACACCCAUGUCACACUGUACUUUUACACUUCUGAACUGCAAAACAAAUUUUAGAGAGAAA